GGCCCUAUAGACUAUGAUGCGGUCGAGCGAAUCAAUGGGAGCUUGCUCCCUGAGAUUAGCGGCGGACGGGUGAGUAACACGUGGGUAACCUGCCUGUAAGACUGGGAUAACUUCGGGAAACCGGAGCUAAUACCGGAUAGUUUCUUUUCUCGCAUGAGAGAAGAUGGAAAGAUGGUUUCGGCUAUCACUUACAGAUGGACCCGCGGCGCAUUAGCUAGUUGGUGAGGUAACGGCUCACCAAGGCAACGAUGCGUAGCCAACCUGAGAGGGUGAUCGGCCACACUGGGACUGAAACACGGCCCAAACUCCUACGGGAGGCAGCAGUAGGGAAUCUUCCGCAAUGGACAAAAGUCUGACGGAGCAACGCCGCGUGAGCAAAAAAGGCCUUCGGGUCGUAAAGCUCUGUUGUUAGGGAAAAACAAGUACAAGAGUAACUGCUCGUACCUUGACGGUACCUAACCAGAAAGCCACGGCUAACUACGUGCCAGCAGCCGCGGUAAUACGUAGGUGGCAAGCGUUGUCCGGAAUUAUUGGGCGUAAAGCGCGCGCAGGCGGUCCUUUAAGUCUGAUGUGAAAGCCCACGGCUCAACCGUGGAGGGUCAUUGGAAACUGGGGGACUUGAGUGCAGAAAAGGAGAGUGGAAUUCCACGUGUAGCGGUGAAAUGCGUAGAGAUGUGAAGGAACACCAGUGGCGAAGGCGACUCUCUGGUCUGUAACUGACGCUGAGGCGCGAAAGCGUGGGGAGCAAACAGGAUUAGAUACCCUGGUAGUCCACGCCGUAAACGAUGAGUGCUAAGUGUUAGAGGGUUUCCGCCCUUUAGUGCUGCAGCUAACGCAUUAAGCACUCCGCCUGGGGGAGUACGGCGCAAGGCUGAAACUCAAAGGAAUUGACGGGGGCCCGCACAAGCGGUGAGGCAUUGUGUUUAAUUCAGAGCAACCGGGAAAACCUACAAGUCUUUGAACAUCCUCUGCCAACCCUAGAGAUAGGCGUUCCCCUUUCG
rnacentral:rRNA from 2 species